UUACGGUCAAAUCACGCUGAAAACACCGGUUCUCGUUCGAUCACCGAAGUUAAGCAUCGUAGAGCCAGGUCUAGAUGGGGGACCGCUUGGGAACACCUGGUACUGUAAG